GAUUCAGAACGUCUAACAAUCAAAUUUCUAAGCAUCAAGAGGUAUCAAAAUUAACGAUUCAAAAUUAUGUUGGUUUAAAGGGACCAGCAUCCCGUCUUAUGACAGGAGGUUAGGCCAUGCUUAGCCACGCUCUAAAUCGCAGGAGGUUGGAUUUGCUUGAGUCAUUUUCGAAGUGGUAGAAAGUUGAUUGAAUCAAGUCAUAAUCGAAAUCCAUGAGCGCUGACAUGCUGUAUCUGUACGAUUUAAGUGAAUUAAUUAUAUCUUUCUAAUAGGUCGAAGUUUUGAAAUUGAUAGUUAGUACUAAUGAGUCGACAAAUUAUAUAUAAAGAAAUG
rnacentral:lncRNA from 1 species